rnacentral:rRNA from 1 species
AGUGAACGCUGGCGGUAGGCCUAACACAUGCAAGUCGAACGGCAGCACAGUAAGAGCUUGCUCUUACGGGUGGCGAGUGGCGGACGGGUGAGGAAUACAUCGGAAUCUACUUUUUCGUGGGGGAUAACGUAGGGAAACUUACGCGAAUACCGCAUACGACCUACGGGUGAAAGCAGGGGAUCUUCGGACCUUGCGCGAUUGAAUGAGCCGAUGUCGGAUUAGCUAGUUGGCGGGGUAAAGGCCCACCAAGGCGACGAUCCGUAGCUGGUCUGAGAGGAUGAAGAGCCACACUGGAACUGAGACACGGUCCAGACUCUUACGGGAGGCAGAAGUGGGGAAUAUUGGACAAUGGGCGCAAGCCUGAUCCAGCCAUACCGCGUGGGUGAAGAAGGCCUUCGGGUUGUAAAGCCGUUUUGUUGGGAAAGAAAAGCAGCAGGUUAAUACCACGCUGUUCUGACGGUACCCAAAGAAUAAGCACCGGCUAACUUCGUG